UGGUAGCAGUGGCCGUCACCUCCAUCCCUACCUGGCUACCUCUUCAAUCCUCAUCCUCCGCGCUACUUGCUGCCCCUUCCCUGCCUCCUCUGAGUCGGUCGCCGCCAUGUCCCUGCCUCCUCCGCGCCGGCCGCAGCCCCCGUCCACGCUCCGCACGUCUUAAAUAGCUGAUCGCCAGAUCAUAAUCUAUAAGAAAAGGCAUUGCGCACUAUUCAACAGAAGUUAAGAAGAUUUGGUUAGGCAAAUUCACUCUUUAAUCUUUUAGCAUUAGCAUGCAUGAAAUUCUUGUAGUUAUAUUAUGAAGUAUGAAAUCCGUGUCCCGAGAAAAGGAAGAAUACAACCAGCAGAGACUAGUCUCCUGGUGACAUGCAUGUGGUGGUUGCCCCUGCAUCUGUAUGCACGGAAAGAAAGAAACAAGGAUGCAGCCAAGCCAA